rnacentral:rRNA from 1 species
GACGAACGCUGGCGGCGUGCUUAACACAUGCAAGUCGAACGGAAAGGCCCUGCUUGCCGGGUACUCGAGUGGCGAACGGGUGAGUAACACGUGGGUGAUCUGCCCUGCACUUCGGGAUAAGCCUGGGAAACUGGGUCUAAUACCGGAUAGGAGCCAUUUUUAGUGUGAUGGUUGGAAAGUUUUUUCGGUGUAGGAUGAGCUCGCGGCCUAUCAGCUUGUUGGUGGGGUAAUGGCCUACCAAGGCGGCGACGGGUAGCCGGCCUGGGGGGGUGGACGGCCAAAUUGGGACUGGGAUACGGGCCAGACUCCUACGGGAGGGAUCAGUGGGGAAUAUUGCACAAGGGGCGGGAGCCUGAUGCAGCGACGCCGCGUGGGGGAUGACGGCCUUCGGGUUGUAAACUCCUUUCGCUAGGGACGAAGCUUUUUGUGACGGUACCUAGAGAAGAAGCACCGGCUAACUACGUG